rnacentral:lncRNA from 1 species
CUUAGGGCCACAUCUCUGGCACACGGAAAUUCCCAGGCUAGGGAUUCAACUGGAGCUGCAGUUGUUGGCCUGCACAACAGCCACACCGAUGCAGGAUCUAAGCCAGGUCUGAGACCUACACCACAGCUCACAGGUAACGCUGGAUCCUCAACCCACUGCACGAGGCCAAGGAUUGAACCCACAUCCUCAUGGCUACUAGUUGGAUUCGUUUCUGUUGCGCCACAAUGGGAAUUCCCUUUUUUGUCUUUUUAGGGUUGUGCCUGUGGGAUAUGGAAGUUCCCAGGCUAGGGAUUGAAUCUGAGCAGUAGCCAGCAACCUACCCCACAGCCAGAGCAAUGCCAGAUCCCAGCUCUCUUUGCAACCUAUACCAUAGCUCAUGGCAAUGCUGGAUCGUUUAUCCCACUAGGCAAGGCCAGGGAUCGACCUGCAUCCUCAUGGAUACUAGUAGAAUUCUUAACCCACUGAGCCACAGUGGGAACACUGGAGAUAGGGUCUUCAAGAGGUAAUUAAGUUAAAAUGAAUGUGGGCUCUAAUAUACUAUUGUUAGGGGACCAUUGACUGAAACUGCCUACCUUGGGCAGGCAUGGUAAUAGCGCUUGUGUGAGUUGUCUCACAAUAGGAGGCCCUGAUAAGGAACACGGUGCUGCCCUGAUGACUAACGGGGAGGGGCCCAUAGGAGGGAGGAGACCUCCAACAUCCCAGGAUCCUUGGCGGCAGAAUCCAUCUUGGCUGAGAUGUGCUCAUGCCACCAAGAAAGUCCCUGGGCCAGACCGAAUACGGGCCGAGCAAGAUGAUUGGCCAGAGGCAACCUGGAAAUUAACCCCACUCCCAUAAAACCUAAGGCUGUGAGCCACGUGGCAGAGCUGUUCUCCUGGGUUCCCUCAUCCUGCUGCUCUCUGCCCAGGCGCCCCUUCCUGAUAAAGUCUCCUGUUUUGUCAGCACAUGUGUCUCCUUGAACAAUUAAUUUCUGAGUGUUAGUCAAGAGCCCAUUCUCGGGUCCUGGAAGGAGUCCCGCUUCCUGCAACGCUAUGAUGGGUGUCCUUAUAAGAAGAGGAAGUUAAUUCACAGACAGGCCCAGAGGGAAGACUGUGUGAUGAGGUGGAGAGAAGAUGGCUAUUUCUAAGCCAAGAAGAGAGGUCUUAGAAAGUGACCAACCUGACAAGACCUUGAUCUUGCACUUCUGGCCUCCAGAACUGUGAGGAAAUACAUGUCUGUUGCUUGAGCCACACAUUCUGUGGUGUUUUGUUAUGGUCGCUCCUAGCAAACUAAUACAGAUAGAAAUGAAAUAUAACCCAAGGUAAAAUGUGAUCAUGAAACUGAGCAGGAAACUGUGGGGUUCCUGGGCACACAAGCCUUUCCGGGUCCCCCAUAUCUUGUUUUUAGGGGCUAAGCUUCAGUCUCCAAGACCUUCCCUGAGUUCCAAAGGGCAAGUUCAAACAGUUGCUAAUCAAGGGAAGGGAGGGGAUGCAGAGACAAAGGAAGAACAGUCAAGGAACAAUAGUGCAGCCUGGGGGCAGGGUUCCAGUUUCUCCUCAAGGAAUAUACAUAAAAAUAUCUUUGGGUUCUUCUGCAGAACUAAAAUCCCCAACAACUGAAAGAUGUUAACUACUUGAUCAAGUCUUCAUUCAGGCCCACCAGAACCAGUUCUGGGCCACUAAACACCCUUCUUCUUUGAAGAAGAAUUAAAGCUGGCAUCUACCCUAAUCCUUAUCUGUGGCCCUAUUUUCCACCCCAAAACUGCAAGGCCACCCCCUAUUCUCUCCCAAAGGAGGGCACAGUCUUUGGGGCAUUAGGCUGCUGUGGUCUCCUUUGCCUGGCAAAGCAAUAAAGCUAUUUUUUUCUACUUUGCCCAAAACUCUGUCUUUGCAUUUCUACAUGGCACCAGUGGACAGACACCAAGAUUUGGCAACACCUUCCUCCCCUCGUGUUGGAACUGGUGAUCAGGUCUUUUAGGUCGGUACUGAUGUGAACCUCAAUUCACAGCUAAGGAAACCGAGGCCCAGAGAGAGGAUACACGAGUAAGGUGUUCAGGGCCACACAGCGACCCAAAUACCUGAACUGAUAUUUGAAUCUAGGUAAUUUAGCUUCAGAGCUUUUUAUCAUUGUUAAGAAGCUGGACUCUCUUUAAGGGAAGGUUAUUAUUCAGCCUAUGGAGUCACUGCUUCUCCCUCCUCUCUGUGUCCUGUAGUCUACAGACCGCAUCCCCAGACAGGUACCUUGCAGGCCCAGAGGAGCAGAGAUAUCUCAGCAGCAACCAGUGUAGACCAAGGACCCGUGACCAGAAAUGCUAUGAAAACCUGUGGGGCUUGGAACAGUCCGGGGUGGCGGUGGGGGGCUGAAUAGAGAGCUCCAGUAAUGACUGAGAUGGACAUACUUGCCGGCCUGGUGAGUUGGGGAUGUGGAGCCAGAUUUAAGUUGAUUUAAAGAAGACAAGGAAAAAACCUGUUUCUCUAGUGUGCCAACAUCUUGUGGGAGAUUUACACCCAUUCUAGGUAGUUCGUUGGCCACUUCCUGAGUGCUGUUCUCACGAUCCCAUCUCUGGGGCUUAGUCCAUGCUGUUCCCUCCACAGAGCUGCCUUCUGUGUCUUGUCUACUUUCAAAGGCCAAACCUGCUCAAAUCCCAAGAGUUCUUAGCAAUUCUAAAGAUAAGACUAUUUCUCCUUCCCUAUCCUUUAUUCUCUCAUCCUUAAACCUUUUGGUACCCUGGUCACAGUUUUCCCACCUUCUAACUUGUAACAUCUCAGGGUGGGUAAGGGAACACCUCCUCCUCUCUGCAGGAAAAAAUGUGACCCUCAGGAGGAAAGGAUUCCCUUGGUCCUUAUAUUUGUAGCCAACCAUCCUCUUUAUUGCGUUUUGCGUCUAUCAGGUGCGUAUGUAUCCUGAUAGUGCUAAGUGCCUUCAUGCACACUUUGUUUCUCAAAACAGAAUAGGUAAAUAUUGUUACGAUAAGGUAAAUAUUGUCAUCAUACCCAUUUUAUAAAUGAGAACCCUGUGGCUGGCGUGUAGAAGGCAAUCCAUAAAAUGUGUGUAGGAUAAAUGGUGAGUUCAUGCACGGUCACAUUUCUAGAAUGGAGUAGAACCAAUAUAGGGAGUCAGCUCAGUCUUCAAUUCUACCCUUCCUUUCCUCUUGAUAGGACCAGCUAUAUAAUUUGGGGGGCCCAGUGCAAAAUAAAAAUAUGGAGUCUUAAAAAGUAAGAAUUUUAUGAUGGCAACUGCAGAAUAGGGUCCUUCUAAGCACUGGGGUGUUGUGUGUUGGCAGAUGUUAACACCCCCAUGAAGCAGGUCCUAUCUCUGGUUCUACACCUUUUUUUCCUCCAAGAAACUGAGCCCAAGCCCUCCAGCCUACCUUGAACUUGCUUCUUACAGGGUUUCUGAGAUGCAUGAUUACCAGUUGAAACCAAGCAGGGCCCUGUGGGCCUCCUGGGCACAAACAUUUCUGUGUCCCCCAUUUUCUGUCUUUAGGGAAUAAGCUUUAGCCUCCACGACCUUCCCUAGUUCCAAAGGGCAGGUUUAAACAGUUGCUAAUUAGGAAAGGGCCUUUCCUAAGGGAGACCAGGAGGAACAGUCAAGAAACAACAGUGCAGCUUUGUUAUGCAUAUUCCUCAAGGAAUAUGCAUAACAAUAUCUUUGAGUUCUUUUGAAGAAUUAAAACUGCCAACAAAUGAAAGCCAGAGAGGAGGACCACCAGAACCAGUCCUAGGGCCCCUAAACAUCAGCUUUGAAGGAGGAUGAAAGCUUGCAUCUACCCUGUGGCCCUAUUUUCUUUUUUUGUCUUUUUGCCCUUUCUAGGGCCGCUCCUGCGGCAUACAGAGGUUCCCAGGCUAGGGGUCUCAUUGGAGCUGUAGCCACCAGCCUACACCAGGGCCACAGCAACGCAGGAUCCGAGCCUCGUCUGCGACCUACACCACAGCUCACAGCAAUGCCGGAUCCUUAACCCACUGAGCGAGGCCAGGGAUCAAACCCGCAACCUCAUGGUUCCUAGUCGGAUUCGUUAACCACUGCACCAUGACGGGAACUCCCUGUGGCCCUAUUUUCUACUCUCAAACUAUAAAACCACUUUCUAUUCUCUCCCAAAGUGGGAGCACAGUCUUUAGGGCAUUAGCCUGCUGGGGCCUCUUUUGC